UGGAGCUACACUGAAAGCUACUUUUACAACACUACUGCAGAACAUUCCAGCAUUUGCUCCAGUUUUGCUGCUUGCAACAUCCGAUGUGUGUCACGCAGAUCUCCCAACAGAGAUAAAAGAAUUGUUUAUUGAUGAUUAUGAAGAAGUUUUCAAAAUCCAGUUGCCUAAUGAGGAAGAAAGAAGAAUGUUUUUUGAGGACUUAAUUGUAAAUCAAGCUGCUAAAGCUCCUGCAUCAAAAAAACAGUGCAGCGUGGCGGCCAUUGGAAGUGCUGCCUGUAGCACCACCGCCUAAGCCUCAACAGCUGACUGAGGAAGAAAUCAAACAACUGGAGGAGCAGGAGGAGGACACGUUGCGUGAACUUAGGAUUUUCUUAAGGGAUGUGACUCAUAGACUUGCCAUUGACAGACGUUUCAGAGCAUUUACAAAGCCUGUUGACC